UCCGGUUGAUCCUGCCGGAGGCCACUGCUAUGGGGGUCCGACUAAGCCAUGCGAGUCAUGGGGUCCCUUCGGGGACACCGGCGGACGGCUCAGUAACACGUCGGUAACCUACCCUCGGGAGGGGGAUAACCCCGGGAAACUGGGGCUAAUCCCCCAUAGGCCUGGGGUACUGGAAGGUCCCCAGGCCGAAAGGGGCUCUGCCCGCCCGAGGAUGGGCCGGCGGCCGAUUAGGUAGUUGGUGGGGUAACGGCCCACCAAGCCGAAGAUCGGUACGGGCCAUGAGAGUGGGAGCCCGGAGAUGGACACUGAGACACGGGUCCAGGCCCUACGGGGCGCAGCAGGCGCGAAACCUCCGCAAUGCGGGCAACCGCGACGGGGGGACCCCCAGUGCCGUGGCAUAGCCACGGCUUUUCCGGAGUGUAAAAAGCUCCGGGAAUAAGGGCUGGGCAAGGCCGGUGGCAGCCGCCGCGGUAAUACCGGCGGCCCAAGUGGUGGCCGCUAUUAUUGGGCCUAAAGCGUCCGUAGCCGGGCCCGUGAGUCCCUGGCGAAAUCCCACGGCUCAACCGUGGGGCUUGCUGGGGAUACUGCGGGCCUUGGGACCGGGAGAGGCCGGGGGUACCCCUGGGGUAGGGGUGAAAUCCUAUAAUCCCAGGGGGA
rnacentral:rRNA from 1 species